UUCUCCUUCUUCACCACACUGAUAUCAACCCUCCGUUAAUGCAGUAAAACAGCGAGCACGCCGAUCCCCAAGUGUAAAAGUAACGUUACUCAGAUUAGUAACUGUAAUAUAAUCACUGAAUUUCAAAUUGUAAUCCCUCACACUACUGUCACUGAAAAAGUAUUAAUAUUACUGUGACGUAUUACAAAGUAACCCUGCUGUUGAGUGCAGAAUGAGAAAGGCUGAUGAUUUUCUCCAAAACAAGAAGGUUCUUUUCCAUAACUGUCAAUACAAACCAGGUUUCCUCUGCAUCCAUCACCGUGGCAGCACCAGACAAACCAAUCUCCUCCCUGUCUGUUCUCAUUGCAUCACACUCAUCCAACAAGCAGCUUCAUCAGCCGGCCCGGCUUUCAUGAAGACACACGGAGGACAGAUCAUCUCGCACUGAGAUGGACUACCGGAGGCGCAGUGGACCCUGGGAAACAAAGUGGCUUGCACUCUGGAUGACGGCCUCUCUCUUGCGAUGAUGAUGGUGACCACCCGACUGUGUGGAGUUGUCGCAUCCCCAUGAUGUGGUUCUGUUCCAGCAAGCACUGGGAGCCAACUGUGAAGCAGCCGGGAUUGAGAGUCAGCACUUCCGAAUCUGAGGCCAUGCUGCUCUGCCGGAAAAAGGUGGACUGCUCCCUCUGGAUUGGGAAGGAGUUGCUGCACCAAGCGAAGGAGUUCAAGUAUCUCUGGGUUAUAUUCAGGGUAUGAGGGUAAGAUGGAGCGUGAGGUUGACAGGCAGAUCAGUGCAGCAUCAGCAGUAAUGCAGGCGUUGUACUGGACCGUUGUGGUGAAGAAAUUACCGGUCAGUAUAUGUUUCAACCCUCACCUAUUGUGGGGCUGUCUUUGUACAUGUGUUGUCUCUCCAUUGUGGGAUAUCUCCUGCAGCAUCAUUUGUGGGAGGUUUAUGUUUAUGUUUUAUGUAUUGUGCUGUUAGAUUAUGGUUGGUCAAAAUGCGGGAAUGUUUGAUUUGUUGGUAGUUAAUGUGUUUGUAUUAUUCCAUGAGGGAUGUGUCAUGUAAAUGACCAGACAUGAAAAUAAAAGUAUUGAUUAAUUAAUUAA